CAUCUCCUCUUCCUCAGCUCUUUCAAGAUCCUCUUCCUCACUGCAGUGUUCUUCCCUUCUGUUUCCCCUCACACUGCAUCCUCAUAGGAAGGACAAAAAGAAGUGCCAGUAGGCCAUGAAAUCACAAACUGGCCAUGCAUAGACAAACUAGUAGCUAAGUUUACAGUAGCUUUUGAUCUUGUCUUAGUUAUUAUUUUGCCCAUGCCGUCGCAGUUUAUGAUUCAUGAGCUGUUGGCCUUUGUCUUUGUUCUCUCAUGAAGACAACAUGUUUUCUCGGAUGCUUCUGCAUGGGCAUAACCAAAAGGAUAUAAGGAAGUAACUUCUCUAUAUUGGGAAUAGACUGGAGGCCAAUCUGAAUUCUAUGUGAAACAGAAUAUCCUUCAUAUUCUGAGAUGCUGAACAGCCACCAUGCCUGGCUUCUGGCAAGUUGUGUGUUCUUUGCCCUUACACCUGGAGAUGGUCUUCAGUGUCGAAUAUGUAUAACCCGGAGCGGGCUGAGUGCUUGUGACCCAGUUCUGACCUGUGAAGUGACAACUGAAACUGGAACCUGUGCUCAUGUAAAGAUCUACAAGAAUGGAGAGAAAUAUAUGUUAAUACAGGACUGCUGGGAAGAGAAAGGAGAUUCUUGUGGAACCAAACGUGCAGGACAGACCAUUAGCUCUGAAAUCACCUGUUGUGACAGCGACUUUUGCAAUGACCAUGAAUAAAGAAAAGUGAAAGCAGACAAACAGAACAGCUUUAAAAUGCUGAAAUAUACGUAUAUGUAGGUGUCUUGUCCCUUUUUGAUUGCUGUUUCUCUAAUUUCUUUUCCCCAAAUAUAAAAGCUGAGUUCACAGAUACCAUUCAUUCAUACUAUUUACAGCCAUCCA
rnacentral:lncRNA from 1 species